CCUGACUGCUAUCGGAUUGAUACUAAGCCAUGCGAGUCAUUGUAGCAAUACAAGGCAUACGGCUCAGUAACGCGUAGUCAACCUAACCUAUGGACGGGAAUAACCUCGGGAAACUGAGAAUAAUGCCCGAUAGAACACUAUACCUGGAAUGGUUUGUGUUCCAAAUGAUUUAUCGCCAUAGGAUGGGACUGCGGCCUAUCAGUUUGUUGGUGAGGUAAUGGCCCACCAAGACUAUUACAGGUACGGGCUCUGAGAGGAGUAGCCCGGAGAUGGGUACUGAGACACGGACCCAGGCCCUAUGGGGCGCAGCAGGCGAGAAAACUUUGCAAUGUGCGAAAGCACGACAAGGUUAAUCCGAGUGAUUUGUGCUAAACGAAUCUUUUGUUAGUCCUAGAAACACUAACGAAUAAGGGGUGGGCAAGUUCUGGUGUCAGCCGCCGCGGUAAAACCAGCACCUCAAGUGGUCAGGAUGAUUAUUGGGCCUAAAGCAUCCGUAGCCGGCUCUGUAAGUUUUCGGUUAAAUCUGUACGCUUAACGUACAGGCUGCCGGGAAUACUGCAGAGCUAGGGAGUGGGAGAGGUAGACGGUACUCGGUAGGAAGUGGUAAAAUGCUUUGAUCUAUCGAUGACCACCUGUGGCGAAGGCGGUCUACCAGAACACGUCCGACGGUGAGGGAUGAAAGCUGGGGGAGCAAACCGGAUUAGAUACCCGGGUAGUCCCAGCUGUAAACUAUGCAAACUCAGUGAUGCAUUGGCUUGUGGCCAAUGCAGUGCUGCAGGGAGGCCGUUAAGUUUGCCGCCUGGGAAGUACGUACGCAAGUAUGAAACUUAAAGGAAUUGGCGGGGGAGCACCACAAGGGGUGAAGCCUGCGGUUC
rnacentral:rRNA from 1 species